CCCCUACGGGAGGCAGCAGUGGGGAAUCUUGCGCAAUGGACGAAAGUCUGACGCAGCCACGCCGCGUGAGUGAAGAAGGCCUUCGGGUUGUAAAGCUCUGUCGGGAGGGACGAAAAUCCAUUGGGUUAACAGCCCAGUGGACUGACGGUACCUUCAAAGGAAGCACCGGCUAACUCUGUGCCAGCAGCCGCGGUAAUACAGAGGGUGCAAGCGUUGCUCGGAAUCAUUGGGCGUAAAGGGCAGGUAGGUGGUCUCGUUUGUCUGAGGUGAAAGCCUUGAGCUUAACUCAAGAAGUGCCUUAGAAACGGCGGGACUAGAAUCUUGGAGAGGGUCGUGGAAUUCCCGGUGUAGCGGUGAAAUGCGUAGAGAUCGGGAGGAACACCAGAGGCGAAGGCGGCGACCUGGACAAGUAUUGACACUCAACUGCGAAAGCGUGGGGAGCAAACAGGAUUAGAUACCCUGGUAGUCCACGCUGUAAACGAUGGGUACUAGGUUUGGUGGGUCUUGACCCCCGCCGAACCGGAGCUAACGCGAUAAGUACCCCGCCUGGGAAGUACGGUCGCAAGACUAAAACUCAAAGGAAUUGACGGA
rnacentral:rRNA from 1 species